rnacentral:rRNA from 1 species
UACGUAGGUGGCAAGCGUUGUCCGGAUUUACUGGGCGUAAAGAGCGCGCAGGCGGGCGUUCAAGUCGCGUGUGAAAGCCCCCGGCUCAACUGGGGAGGGUCACGCGAUACUGAUCGACUCGAAGGCAGGAGAGGGUAGUGGAAUUCCCGGUGUAGCGGUGAAAUGCGCAGAUAUCGGGAAGAACACCCGUGGCGAAGGCGGCUCUCUGGGACGGUACUGACGCUGAGACGCGAAAGCGUGGGGAGCGAACAGG